rnacentral:rRNA from 1 species
GGCGACGACGGGUAGCCGGCCUGAGAGGGCGACCGGCCACACUGGGACUGAGACACGGCCCAGACUCCUACGGGAGGCAGCAGUGGGGAAUAUUGCACAAUGGGCGCAAGCCUGAUGCAGCGACGCCGCGUGAGGGAUGACGGCCUUCGGGUUGUAAACCUCUUUCAGCAGGGAAGAAGCGCGAGUGACGGUACCUGCAGAAGAAGCACCGGCUAACUACGUG